rnacentral:rRNA from 1 species
AACGAACGCUGGCGGCAUGCCUAACACAUGCAAGUCGAACGAGACCUUCGGGUCUAGUUGCGCACGGGUGCGUAACGCGUGGGAACCUGCCCUUAGGUUCGGAAUAACUCCCCGAAAGGGGUGCUAAUACCGGAUAAUGUCUUCGGACCAAAGAUUUAUCGCCUUUGGAUGGGCCCGCGUUGGAUUAGCUAGUUGGUAGGGUAAAAGCCUACCAAGGCGACGAUCCAUAGCUGGUCUGAGAGGAUGAUCAGCCACGCUGGGACUGAGACACGACACAGACUACUACGGGAGGAAGCAGUGGGGAAUAUUAGACAAUGGGCGAAAGCGUUAUCAAGCAAUGCCGCGUGAGUGAUAAAAGCCUUAGGGUUGUAAAGCUCUUUUGCCCGAGAUGAUAAUGACAGUACCGGGGGAAUAAGCGCCGGCUAACUCCGUG